GAUGAACGCUGGCGGCGUGCCUAAUACAUGCAAGUCGAGCGAACAGACGAGGAGCUUGCUCCCCUGACGUUAGCGGCGGACGGGUGAGUAACAAGUGGAUAACCUACCUCUAAGACUGGGAUAAUUUCGGGAAACCGGAGCUACUACCGGAUAAUAUAUUGAACCGGAUGGUUCAAUAGUGAAUGACGGUUUUGCUGUCACUUAUAGAUGGAUCCGCGGCGCAUUAGCUAGUUGGUAAGGUAACGGCUUACCAAGGCGACGAUGCGUAGCCGACCUGAGAGGGUGAUCGGCCACACUGGAACUGAGACACGGUCCAGACUCCUACGGGAGGCAGCAGUAGGGAAUCUUCCGCAAUGGGCGAAAGCCUGACGGAGCAACACCGCGUGAGUGAUGAAGGUCUUCGGAUCGUAAAGCUCUGUUGUUAGGAAAGAACAAAUGUGUAAGUAACUAUGCACGUCUUGACGGUACCUAAACAAAAAGCCACGGCUAACUACGUG
rnacentral:rRNA from 1 species